UUAACUUAUAACAGAUUCUUUCACCAGGGGCAAAGUUGUUGGUAAGGAAUAAUUUAUAUCAGGGUGGCUGAAAUGAACUCUACCUUUACUCAUUUCCUUGGAUCAUAUCAAAUAUUUCUCCCAAAAUUCCACCAGACCAAAGACAACUAGAUGUUUCCUUCAAGGCCAAAUGGAUUGAUUUGCAGUUGGUGCUUAUUAAAAAUCAAAGUUGAAGAUGACUGACAAAGUUGGCUAAUGGACCAGACUAAAUUCUUACAGAUUCUAAUAUUUAUAACAAAUGUCUUCUGCAACCGAAGUACUCUAGGAACAACACUUCCAUUCAUGGACUGAGCAACUGCAUUAGGCCUUGCCAGCGUGUCACUUCAGUCAAAGUCACCAGUGUCAAGAAUAUCACAGGCUAAUUAUUUAAGUCCAACCAUUUCUUCAAGACCCUCCUCAAGUCUCACCUCCUCCCAGUCUUU